rnacentral:rRNA from 1 species
AUUGAACGCUGGCGGCAGGCCUAACACAUGCAAGUCGAGCGGUAGCACAGGAGAGCUUGCUCUCCGGGUGACGAGCGGCGGACGGGUGAGUAAUGUCUGGGAAAUUGCCUGAUGGAGGGGGAUAACUACUGGAAACGGUAGCUAAUACCGCAUAACGUCGCAAGACCAAAGAGGGGGACCUUCGGGCCUCUUGCCAUCAGAUGUGCCCAGAUGGGAUUAGCUAGUAGGUGGGGUAACGGCUCACCUAGGCGACGAUCCCUAGCUGGUCUGAGAGGAUGACCAGCCACACUGGAACUGAGACACGGUCCAGACUCCUACGGGAGGCAGCAGUGGGGAAUAUCGCACAAUGGGCACAAGCCUGAUGCAGCCAUGCCGCGUGUAUGAAGAAGGCCUUCGGGUUGUAAAGUACUUUCAGCGGGGAGGAAGGUGCUGAGGUUAAUAACCUCAGCAAUUGACGUUACCCGCAGAAGAAGCACCGGCUAACUCCGUGCCAGCCGCCGCCGUAACAC